GCCUUUGUAGCUCAGUUGGUAGAGCAUCGGACGCGAAAUCUGAAGGUCGUGGGUUCGGGUCCCACCGAAGGCA
rnacentral:tRNA from 1 species